rnacentral:rRNA from 1 species
GACGAACGCUGGCGGCGUGCUUAACACAUGCAAGUCGAGCGGAAAGGCCCUGCUUUUGUGGGGUGCUCGAGUGGCGAACGGGUGAGUAACACGUGAGUAACCUGCCCUUGACUUUGGGAUAACUUCAGGAAACUGGGGCUAAUACCGGAUAGGAGCUCCCGCUGCAUGGUGGGGGUUGGAAAGUUUCGGCGGUUGGGGAUGGACUCGCGGCUUAUCAGCUUGUUGGUGGGGUAGUGGCUUACCAAGGCUUUGACGGGUAGCCGGCCUGAGAGGGUGACCGGCCACAUUGGGACUGAGAUACGGCCCAGACUCCUACGGGAGGCAGCAGUGGGGAAUAUUGCACAAUGGGCGGAAGCCUGAUGCAGCAACGCCGCGUGCGGGAUGACGGCCUUCGGGUUGUAAACCGCUUUCGCCUGUGACGAAGCGUGAGUGACGGUAAUGGGUAAAGAAGCACCGGCUAACUACGUG